rnacentral:rRNA from 1 species
UACGUAGGGCGCAAGCGUUAUCCGGAAUUAUUGGGCGUAAAGAGCUCGUAGGCGGUUUGUCGCGUCUGCUGUGAAAACGCGAGGCUCAACCUCGCGCCUGCAGUGGGUACGGGCAGACUAGAGUGCGGUAGGGGGAGAUUGGAAUUCCUGGUGUAGCGGUGGAAUGCGCAGAUAUCAGGAGGAACACCGAUGGCGAAGGCAGAUCUCUGGGCCGUAACUGACGCUGAGGAGCGAAAGCGUGGGGAGCGAACAGG